GAAGAUCAAACUGCACGUCUGUGUAGGCAUCCUAGGUCCAGACCAUCCAUGCUCUUCGGUGAUGGGUUAGUCCCUGUGAACCUCAGGAGGCCCAGGCAGAAUUUCUUGGAGGAAAGCAAAUCCUGACAACCUAAGAUCCUCCAUGGUCUCCGUGGUAUUUCAUCUAACAUCUUCAUUUUUAAAGACAGAAGAUAAGGAAGACAAACUCCAAGUUCAAAAUUCAGGGGAUAAAACACAGCUUUGAACAGUGAAGCAUUCAUCCCUGUUUGAGGACACAGAGGAGGAAAUGAUAAUCCAUUGACCAAUGACUUCCUUCAAGCUAUUUGAUUCUACAGUUGGUAUGCUUCAGAUCAAGAUGUAGAACUCUCAGCUCCUCCUGCACCAAGCCUGCCUGUAUACUGCCAUGCUCCCACCUUGAUGAUAGUGGACUGAGUCUCUGAACCUAUCAGAUCUGGAUGAGUUGGAUGAGCCAACUGAAGAAUACUUGAAAGUGAUGCCUAUGAAAAAUUUGCUGUGUAACAGAGUUGC
rnacentral:lncRNA from 1 species